ensembl:lncRNA
CUUUGUCACAUCCCUGACCAAGGUCCUUCUCUCCCGAUUUCUCAGUUUGGCUGGUCGGCCAGCUCUAGGAAGAGUCUUUGUGGUUCUAAACUUCUAUUUAAGAAUGAUGGAGGCCACCGUAUUCUUGGGGACCUUCAAUGCUGCAGAAAUGUUUUGGUACACUUCCCCAGAUCUGUGCCUCGACACAAUCCUGUCUCGGAGCUCUACGGACAAUUCCUUCGACCUCAUGGAUUGGUUUUUGCUCUGACAUGCACAGUCAUCUGUGGGACCUUAUAUAGACAGGUGUGUACUUUUCCAAAUCAUGUCCAAUCAAUUGAAUUUACCACAGGUAGACUCCAAUGAAGUUGAAGAAAGAUCUCAAGGAUGAUCAAUGGAAACAGGAUGCACCGGAGCUCAAUUUUGUGUCUAAUAGCAAAGGGUCUGAAUACGUAUGUAAAUAUGGUAUCCGUUUAUUUUUUAUUAAUUAGCAAACUUUUUUUUUUUUUUUUUACUUUUCGUUUCGUCAUUAUGGGGAAUUGUGUUUAGAUUGUGCUAUUGCCAUACCAAGCAGUGAUACAGUCAGUCAAGAUGCUCUCAAAUGAUACAGCUAAGGAUUUGAGGGCCCUUGACAAAUAGUUAACCUCCUGAGGGAGAAGAGACGCCGUUGCACCUUCUUCACGACUGUGCGGUUGUAUGGACCUUAAGGUUAGUGACUUGGACACAAGAACUUGAAGCGCUCCACCUGCUCAACUGCAGCCUCCCCCGUAGUACACAAUCAGCUCCUUGGUCUUACUGGCGUUGAGAGGUUGUUGUUCUAGCCCCACACUGCCAGGUCACUGAGACGACAGGGAGGUGGUCAUCGACGCCAGUGAUCAGGCCUACCACCAUUGUGUCGUCACAGUGGUGACGUCAUGGGUGAACAGGGAGUACUAAGCACACACCCCUGUGUUGAGGGUCAAUGUGGCGAAGGUGAUGUUGCCUAAAUUCACCACCUGGGGUCAGCCCGUCAGGAAGUCCAGGAUCCAGUUGCAGAGGGAGAUGUUCAGUCCCAGGGUCCUCAGCUUGGUGACAAGCUUGGAGGGGACAAUUGUGCUGAACACUGAGCUGUAGUCAAUGAAAAGCAUUCCCACAUAGGCAUUGCUCUUAUCUAGGUGGACGAGGGUAGUGUGGAGCGCAAUUGAGAUUGCAUCGUCUAUGGAUUUGUUGGGGCGGUAUGCAAAUUAGAGUUGGUCUAGGGUGAUGGAGUUGAUGUGCGCCAUAACCAGCCACUCAAAGCACUUCAUGAUUACAGAUGUUAGUGCUACGGGGCGGGAGUCAUUGUGGAAUGAAGCCUUAAGAGUUCAUAGAAACAGAAAUGAUGGUGGUCAUCUUCAAACAUGUUGGGAUUACAGACUGGGACAAGGAGAAGUUGAAAAUUACCAUGAAUAUACCUGCCAGCUGUUCCGCUCUGAGAACGCGCCCUGGAAUACCCAUUUAGCCCCCCG